rnacentral:rRNA from 1 species
GGAAUAUUGGACAAUGGGCGGGAGCCUGAUCCAGCCAUGCCGCGUGAGUGAUGACGGUCUUAGGAUUGUAAAGCUCUUUCAGUGGGGACGAUAAUGACGGUACCCACAGAAGAAGCCCCGGCUAACUUCGUGCCAGCAGCCGCGGUAAUACGAAGGGGGCUAGCGUUGUUCGGAAUUACUGGGCGUAAAGCGCACGUAGGCGGAUAUUUAAGUCAGGGGUGAAAUCCCGGGGCUCAACCCCGGAACUGCCUCUGAUACUGGCUAUCUAGAGUGUGGAAGAGGUCAGUGGAAUUGCGAGUGUAGAGGUGAAAUUCGUAGAUAUUCGCAGGAACACCAGUGGCGAAGGCGGCUGACUGGUCCACAACUGACGCUGAGGUGCGAAAGCGUGGGGAGC